AGCUCCUUUGAGAUGGAGUUGAGCAACCAGGAUAAAACCAUGUGAUUGCAUCUUCUCCACGGAAUGAAGUGUGGUGAGUUUAAGUUCGGCUAAGGUAGACUGCCAUCGACAAAUGAAAGCUUGUUUUUCGCAGAUAAGGCCAUAACCAUAGCGUGACUCCACAUCAUGAAGUUGUCGCCUGUGAGAACUUGGGAGACCAGCACCGCUCCUAGGUUGUCAGAGUGGUGAAGGAAAAAGGGGUUUAAGCUGUCCACUAUGCCGUGAUCAAAAUGAGGUGCAGGUUCAGACGAUGAAGAAUUUGGGGUAUUCACCUAGUGGGAUUUCUACAGGUCCGUGUGAAGUCAUGGCUCUGAUACCAUGUGACAGGAGCUUGAAAAAUGGUGGAAAACAGGGUAUGUGCUUAGGAAUACGGAGCAGAGCAAAGGAAGCUGCAGAAGAGUUGGCUCCUCGUUGGAGAUAUCAGGUUGUUUUUUUCAUUUCACUAAGGUGUAUGUUUCAAUUUUAAUUGUCAAGAUCAUAGUCGUGAAUCAGACUUCCUAUACCCUAUGUUGUAGCUCCCUGAUGCCCCUACAUUGUAUAGAAUUGCAACUGCAGCAGGCCGGAUGCAAUAUGAAGAGUAGAGGCUUCCAUUCAAAGGAUUGCCAUGAUCAGUAGUUUUUUUAAAGUUAUGCUCGAAACCAGCAUUUCCAUUGUAUAAGUCUAUGAAAACCUUGGCCAUAUCCAACCGACGAUGAGGUAAGAAUGUGGAAAAUAUAAAAAAACUGGGUCUGAAAGUUUCUUCUUAUUUUGCAGGUAUUGGUAUCAACUGGGUCUCUUCAGCAUUAUUUUAGGGCUCCCUUGACAUUUGCAUGAAAAGUCUAGGCACCAAAAAGUGGGGGAGAAGCCUCUUCUUUCCAUUUCAACUUUUGUGCAACUAAUUUCUUUAUUCAUGGACAUCUUAGUGUAAAAGGGCCCAGUUUAGAAUAGCUUCAUGUGCCACAAACUCCAGCUAUAAGGGAAUGAUAGAGGGAAGACACCAGGGACUGGUCAUUGGUGGUUAAUUUUUAGCAAUUCCAGAUCCAUUUUCUUAGGUGAAGAAUGUAUAGGGGAUGGCAAUGGCUUUGUAAUUUCUGUUAGGAAUGUAAUUUUAUUAGGAAUUUCUUUUAUGU